rnacentral:rRNA from 1 species
UACGUAGGUGGCAAGCGUUGUCCGGAUUUACUGGGCGUAAAGAGCGCGCAGGCGGUCGUCCAAGUCGCGUGUGAAAGCCCCCGGCUCAACUGGGGAGGGUCAUUCGAUACUGAUCGACUCGAAGGCAGGAGAGGGUAGUGGAAUUCCCGGUGUAGUGGUGAAAUGCGUAGAGAUCCGGAGGAACACCAGUGGCGAAGGCGGCUGGCUGGACCUGACCUGACGCUGAGGCGCGAAGGCGUGGGGAGCGAACGGG